rnacentral:tRNA from 1 species
GCUUUUUUAAUAUAAAAAAUAUAGAUGACUUCCACUCGUCCAAUCUUAGACAAAUCUAAGAAAAAGCA